GUGGGGCCCUGUGGAUAUGCUUUUCUUUAGAGCUCCUAUUGCUUCUGGGUUUGGGGUGUGAGAGGACGCAGAGCGGGAGACCUUAAAACCGUCUGAUCCGGCUGCUAAAGCGAGUGUCUGACGACCACCCAUUAACGCCAGCAAGUAGCGUUUGCUCGCAGCUUUAGGAGAAGAAGCCUGGAAUGGUCCCCCCACCGCCUGGAGAAGAAAGCCAGACGGUCAUCCUUCCACCUGGCUGGCAAAGCUACCUGUCACCUCAGGGCCGGCGGUACUAUGUCAACACGACCACCAAUGAGUAAUGAUUCUCACUGUGGAGUCAUUUGAUUAAUAAGGCCCAUUGGCAUAAGAUUACAUCCUCUGAUCACAAAAUCCUGGAAGAAAAACUAGGAAAUAU